ACACAUUCCAGCCAAUCAGCAGCAGAUCCUCCCUCCCAGGCCCUCCCAACUCCUGGACAGCAUCCAUUUUGAAGCUGCAUUCUUAGUGAGCUGUCCAGGAAGUGGGAGGGUCUGGGAGGGAGGGUCUGCUGCUGAUUUGCUGGAAUGU